CUUGUGGGAGCCUUAAGGAAGAGACACAGGAACCUUGCUCCAAGGUUUGGGGCCUUACUGCCUGCCCAGGAGAGCCCUGAAUGCUUCCUGGAGGGAGAGGAUUCACUGGGAGACUCCCAGCAUUCCAUGCAGUCUCGCAGCUUCUCUGCUCUGCCUGCCUCAACGUCCCGCUGAGUUUCUGUGUCCCGCCCAUGAACCCGUGUUCGCUUGUGGGCGCCUUAAUGGAGAGACACAAGCACCUUGCUCCGAGGCCUGGAACUUUACAGCUUGCCCGGGAAAGCCCUGGGUCUUCUAGGGUGGAAGAGGCCUUUUGAAUCUGUGAAGAAGUAUUUCUCAGCCCACUGAAGCCUACAGUGAGAAACUGAAUAUACGAUGAUAAAAAGUAGAAAGAAGCUAUGUGUGAAAUUUCUUUGUGAUGUGUGGAUUCAGCUUACAGAGGUAAACCUUUCUUGUGAUUCAGCAGGUUGGAAACACUCUUUUUGGAGAAUCUGUGAAGGGACAUUACUGAGUCCACUAAGGCCUAUGGUGAAUAAAAGAAUAUCUUGUGAUAAAAACUAGAAAGAAGCUAUCUGUGAAGUGGCUUGUGAUGUGAGCCUUCAGCUCACAGAGUUAAGUCUUACUUUGGAUUCAGAUCAUUGGAAACACACAUUUGUAGAACCUGCAAAGGGACAUUUCAGAAACACUAGUCCUAAAGUGAACAACCAAAUAUUCCAUGAUUAAAAACUAGAAAGAAGGUAUCUGUGAAACUUUUUUGUGACGUAUGCAUUCGGCUCAAAGAGUUAAAACUUUCUUUGGAUUCACCAGUGGAAAGAUUCUUUUUGUACAAUCUUCAAAGGGACAUUUCUGAUCCCACUGAGGCCUGUAAUGAAAAAUUGAAUAUUCCACAAUAAUAAAUAGAAAGAAGUCAUCUGUUCAUCUAAUUUGUGAUGUAUGGAUUCAGCUCACAGAGAUAAACUUUUCUGUUGAUUUAGAAGGCUGGAAUAAUUCUUUUUAUAGAAUCUGCAAAGGGAUAUUUCAGAGCAAGCAGAAGUCUAUAAUGACAAACACAAUAUUCUGUGAUAAACACUAGAAAGAAUGUAUCUGUGAAAUGCUUUGUUAUGUAGACAUUCAGCUUACAGAAUUGAAAUUUUCCUUUUAUUCACCAGGUUGGAAAAACUCAUUUUGUAGAAUCUGCAAAGCUACAUUUUGGAGCCCAAUGUGACCUAUCAUGGGAAACAGAAUAUCCCAUGAUAAAAUCUAGAAAGAAGCUAUCUGUGAAACUGCUUUGUGAUCUGUAAAUUCAGUUCAAAAUGAUAAACAUUUCUUUUUAUUCAGCAGGUUGGAAACGCUCUUUUUGUAGAAUCUGUGAAUUAACAUUUUGGAGCGCACUGAGGCCUAUAGUGAAAAACUGAAAAUCCCACACUAAAAACUAGAAAGAAGCUAUCUGUGAAACUGCUUUGUGACAUGUGCAUUUCACUCACAGAGUUAAAUUCUUUCUGUGAUUCAGCAGGUUGGAAACAUUCUUUUUGGAGAAUCUAGGUAAAGGCAUUUCAGAGCCCACUGAGGACUAUAGUUUAAAACUGAAUAUCCUGCAAUAACCACUAGAAAGAAGCUGCCUGAAAAACUGCUUUGUGGUAGGUGGAUUCAGCUCCCAGGCUUAAAACUUUCUUUUUAUUCAGCAGGUUGGAAACAGUCUAUUUUUUAGAAUCUACAAAGGGACAUUUUGCAGUUCAGUGAAGCCUGCAGUGAGAAACAGAAUAAACUGUCACAAAAACUAGAGAGAAGCUAUCUGUGUAACGGAUUUUUGAUGUGUGUAUUCAGUUUACAGAGUUAAACCUUUCUUAUAAUUCAGCAGGUUGCAUACACUCUUUUGUAGAAUCUGCAAAGCAACAUUUCUGAUCCCCAUAAGGCCAAGAGUGAAAAACAGAAUAUCCCCCAAUAUAAACUAGAAAGAAGCUAUCUGUGAAAUUGCUUUGUGCUCUGUGGAUUCAGCUCACAGAAUUAAGCUUUACUUUGACACGGCAGGUUGGAAGCACUCUUUUUGUACAAUAAGUGAAGGGAUAUUUCAGAGCAAACUGAGGGCUAAAGUAAAAAACUGAAUAUCUCCCAAUCAAAACUAGAAAGAAUCUCUGUGUGAAUCUGCUUUGUUUAGUGUGGAUUCAGCUCUCAGAGUUAAACUUUUGUUUUGAUUCCACAGGUUGAAAACAUUCUCUUUGUAGAAUCUGAGAAGGAAUAUUUCAGAGCCCACUAAGACCUAUUAUGAAAAACUGAAUACUCCAUGAUAAAAACUAGAAAGAAAGUAUCCAUGAAACUGCUUUUUGAUGAGAGGAUUCAGGUACCAAAUUUAAACCUCUCUUUUCACUCAGAAGGUUUGGAAAACUUUUUUUUGAAGCAUUUGCGAAGAGACAUUUGGUGCCCACUGAGGCCUAUAGUGAAAAACAAAAUAUUCCCUGCAUAAAACUAGAAAGAAGCUAUCUGAGAAACUGCUUUGUCAUAUGUGGAUUCAACUCAAAGAGUUAAGCUUCUUUUGAUUCAGUAGGUUGGAAACACUCUUAUUGUAGCUUAUGUGAAGGGACAUUUUUGAGCCCACUGCAGCCUGUAGUGAAAAACUGAAUAUUCCAUGAUAAAUACUAGAAAGAAGCUGUCUGUGUAACUGCAUUAUGAAGCAUGGAUUAAGUUCAAAGAGUUAAAUCAUUCCUUUGAUUUAGCAGGUUGGAGGCACUUUUUUUUUAGAAUCUGCAAAGGGACAUUUUGGAGGCCACUGAAGCCUACAGUGUAAAACUGAAUAUCCCAUGAUAAAAACUAGAAAAAAAUUAUCUGGGAAACUGUUUUGUGAUACGUGCAUUUCACUCACAGAGUUAAACAUUUCUUUUUAUUCAGCAGGUUAGAAACCCUUUUUUUUUUUAGAAUCUGUGAACGGACAUUUCAGAGCCCACUGAGGCCUAUUGAGAAAAACUGAAUAUCCCAUGAUAAAAACUAGAAUGAAUCUCUCUGUGAAACUGCUUUGUCAUGUGUGCAUUCAGAUCACAGAGUUAAUCCUUUCUUUUGAUUCAGCAGGUAGGAAACACUAUUUUUGUAGAAUCUGCAAAGGGACAUUUUGGAGCCCACUGAGGCCAAUAGUGAGAAAUUGAAUAUCCUGUGAUAAAUACUAGAAAGAAAAAUCUGUUAAACUGCUUGUGAUGUGAGGAUUCAGCACACAGAGUUAAUACUUUCUUCUGAUUUUCCAGCAAAUUGGAAGCACUCUUUUUGAAAAAUCUGUGAAGAAAUAUUUUGGAGCCCACUGAUGCCUAUAUUGAAGAAAAGAAUUUCCAUCAACAAAAGCUAGAAAGAAGCUAUCUGUGAAACUCCUUUGUGAUGUGUACAUUCAGAUCACAGAUAUAAACCGUUUUUUGAUUCAGCAGGUUGGAAACACUCUUUCUGUAGAAUCUAUGAGGGGACAUUUCUGAGCCCACUGACACAUUUACUAAAAAAACUAACAUUGUGAGAUAAAAACUAGAAUGAAUCUAUAGGUGAAAUUUCUUUUUGAUGUCUGUAUUCACCUCACAGACUUAAACCUUUCUUUUGAUUCAUUAUUUUGGAAACACUCUUUUUGUAGGUCUGUGAAGGGACAUUUCAGAGGCCACUAAUGCCUAUUGUGAAACAGUGAAUAUCUUGCAAUACAAACUAGAAAGAAGUUAUCUGUGAAAUUAUUUUUUGUUGUGUGAAUUCAGCUCACAGUUAAUCCUUGCUUUUGAUUCAGCAGGUUGGAAACGCUUUUUUUGUAGAAUCUGCAAAUGGAUAUUUUGGAGCCCACUGAGGCUUAUAGUGAAAAACUGUAUAGCCUAUGACAAAACUUUUGAUGAAACCAUGUGUGAAACUACUUUGUGAUGCCUGGAUUCAGCUCACAGACUUAAACCAUACCAUUGAUUCAGAAGGUUUGAAAUGCUCUUUUUGUACAAUCUGCACAGGAACAUUUCAAAGCACACUGAGGCCUAUAGUGAAAAAACAAAUAUCCCACAAUAAAAACUAAAAAGAAUCUGUUUGUGAAAUUGCUUUGUGGUGUGUGAAUUCAGCUCACAGAGUUAAACGUUUAUUUUGAUUUAGCUGGUUGGAGACACUCUUUUGAUAAAAUCUGUGGCCUAUAGUGAAAAACUGAAUAUCUCACAAUAAAAACAAGAAAGAUGAUAUCUGUGAAACUGCUUUAUGAAUUGUACACUCAGCUCACAGAUUUAAAGCUUUCUUUUUUUCCAGCAGGGUGAAAACACUUUUUUUGUUGAAUCUGCGAAAAGACAUUUCAUAGCCGACUGAAGCUGAUAGUGAAAAACAGCAUAUCCCAAGAUUAAAAGUCAAAAUAAGCUCUCUGUGAAACUACUUUGUGAUGGAUGGAUUAAGCUCACAGGGUUAAACCUUUGUUUUGAUUCUGCUGUUUAAAAACACUCUUUUUGUAGAAUAUGUGAAGAGACAUUUUGAAGCCGAUUGAGGACUGUAGUGAAAAACUGAAUAUCCCAAAAUAAAAAUUAGAAAGAAGCUACAUGUAAUACUACUUUGUAACGUGUGGAUUCAUCUCACAAAGUUAAACCUUUCUUUUGAUUCAGCAGUUUGGAAACACUCGUUUUGUAGAAUCUGCGAAGGGACUUUUGGAGCCCAUUGAGGCCUAUAGUGAAAAAAUUAAUAGCCCUAGUUAAAAAACUAGAAAGAUGCUAUCUCUGAAACCACUUAGUGAUGUGUGGAUUUAUCUCACAGAUUUAAACCUUUCUUUUGAUUCAGCAGGUUGGAAACACUCUUUUUGUUCAAUCUGCAAUGGCACAUUUCAGUGCCCAAUGUUGCCUAUAGUGAUAAAAAGGCACUCUUUUUGUAGAAACUGUGAAGGAACAUUUGGGACCUCACUGAGUUCUUACAUGAAAAGCAGAGUAUUCCUCAAUGAAAACUGGAAAGAAUCUAUCUGUGAAACUGCUUUGUGAUGUGUGGUUUCAGCUCACAGAAUUAAAACUUUUUUUUUAUUAUUCAGCUAGUUGAAGCAAUCAUUUUGUAGAUUUAUUUCAGAGCCCACUUACACCUAUAGUGAAAAACUGAAUAUAUUGGAGAAAACUAAAGCAAGCUAUUGUGAAAUUUGUUUGUGAUGUGUGGAUUCAGUUCACUGUGUUAAAACUUUCUUUUGACUCAGGAUGUUGGCAGCACUCUUUUUAUAUAAUCUCCAAAAGGAUAUUUCAGAGCUCAUUGAGGUUAUAGUGAAAAAACGAAUAUCUUAUAAUAAAAACUAGAAAGAAACUAUCUGUUAAACUGCUUUGUGAUGUGAGGAUUCAGCUCACAGAGUUAAAUGUUUCCUUCGAAGAAGUAGGUUGGAAACCUUUUUUUGCAGAAAAUGUGAAGGGACAUUUCCGAGUCCUUUGAAGCCUAUACUGAAUAACCAAAUAUCCCAUGAUAAAAACUAGACAGAAUUUAUUUGUGAAACCGUUUUGUGAUGUGUGCACUCAGCUCACAGAGUUCACAAUUUUCUUAAAUUCAGAGUUAAACGUUUCUUUUGAUUCAUCAGUUUGGAAACACUCUUUUUUAGAAUCUGUGAAGGGUCAUUUCAGAACCCAAUGAGGCCUACAGUGAAAAUUGAAUAUCCCUUGAUUAAAACGAGAAAGACGCUAUCUGUGAAACUGCUUAGAGAUGUGUGGAUUCAGCUCACAGAGUUAAAAUUUGUUUUGAUUCAAUAGGUUGGAAACACUCUUUUUGUAGAAUCAGUGAAGUUACAUUUUGGAGCUCACUGAGACCUAUAAUAAAAAAUGGUAUAACCCAUGAUAAAAACUAGAAUUAAGCUAUCUGUUUUAUUACUUUUUGAUGCAUAAAAACAACUAACAGAGUUAAACUUUUAUUUUAUUUAGUAAAUUGGAACCACUGAUUUUGUAGGAUCUGUGAAGGGACAUUUUGCAGCCUACUGAGUCCUAUAUUGAAAACUGAACAUCCCAUGAAAAAAACUAGAAAGAAGCGAUUGAUGAGAUUUCUUUGUGGUGUGUGCAUUUAGCUCAGAGUAUAACUUUUCUUUUGAUUCAACAGGUUGGAAACACUCUUUUUGUAGAAAGUGUGAAGGGACAUUUCAAAGCCCACUGAGCCCUAAAAUGAAAGAUAAAAUAUCUCAAUAAAAACUAGAAAGAAGGUGUCUGUGAAACUGCUUUGUGAUGUGUGGAUAGAGCUAACAGAGUUAAACCUUUCUUUUCAUUCAGCAAGUUGGAAAUACUCUUUAAGGAGAUACUGUGAAGGGACAUUUCAGAAAAAAACAGAGGUUAAUAUUGAAAAAUUGAAUAUCCCAUGAAGAAAAACUAUCUUUCAAACAGCAUUGUGGUGUGUAUAUUCAGCUCACAGAGUUAAACCUCUCUUUAAAUUCAGCAGAUUGGAAAUAUUUCCAUUGUUUCAGCAGGUAGGAAACACUCUUUUUGUAGAAGCUACAAAGGGACAUUUCAGAGCCCACUGAGACCUAUUAUAAAAAAUUGACUAUCUGACAAUAAAAACUAGAAAUAAGCUAUCAUCUGUGAAACUGCUUUGUAACAUUUGGAUUGAGCUCACAGAAUUAAAACUUUCCCUCGAUUCAGAAGGCUGGAACUACUCUUUUUGUAGAGUCUGCAAUGGAAUAUUUUGGAACCCACUGAGGCCUAUGAAGAAAAACUGAAUAUCCUUGAACAAAAAAUAGUAAGAAGCUUCAGUUAAGCUGAUUUGUGAUGUGUGUAUUCAGCUCACACAUUAAACCUUUCUUCUGAUUUAGUAGGUUAAAAAUACUCUUCUUGUAGCAUCUACAUGGGGACAUUUCAGAGCCCACUGAGUCCAAUAGUGAAAAAAUGAAUAUCCCAUGAUAACUAGAAAGAAGCUAUCUGUGAAACUGCUUUGUGAUGUGUGCAUUCCUCUCACAAAGUUAAAUUUUUCUUUUGAUUCAGCAGAUGGGAAAAACUCUUUUUAUGUAAUGUGUGAGUGGACAUUUCAGACCCCCUGAGAUGAGUAAUGAAAAACAAUAUUCUAUGAUAAAAUCGAGAAAGAAGCUAUCUGUGAAACCGUUUUGUGAUGUGAAGAUUUACCUCACAGAUUGAAACCUUUUUUUGGAUUCAGUGCAUUGGAAACACUCUAUUUGUAGAGUCUGUGAUGGGACAUUUCAGAGCCCACUCACACCUAUCGUGAAAAACCAAAUAUUCUGUGAUAAAAGCUAGAAAGAAGUUACCUGUGAAACUGCUUUGUGAUGUGUGGAUUCAGCUCGGAGAGUUAAACUAUUCUUUUCAUUCAGCAGGUUAGAACACUCUUUUGGUAGAAUUUGCAAAACUAUAUUUCACAGCCUACUGAGUCCUAUAGUGAAAAACUGAUUAUCCCGUGAUAAAAACUAGAAAAAAAAAUUUAUCUUGGAAACUGCUUUGUGAUGUGUGCAUUUAGCUCACAGAGUUCAAAAUUUCUUUCAUUUCAGCAGGUGGAAAACAUUCUUCUUGUAAAAUCUGUGAAAAGACAUUUCAGACACCCCUGAGACCAAUAGUGAAAAACUGUAUAUCCUGUGAUAGAAACAAGAAAGAAGCUAUUUGUGAAAGUGCUUUGAGAUGUGUGGAUUCAGCUCACAGAGUUAAACCUAUCAUUUGAUACAACAGGUAGGGAACCCUCUUUCUUUUUUUUGUAGAAUCUGGUAAAGGGCAUUUCAGAGCAAGCUGAGUACUAUAGUGAAAAACUGAAUAUACCAUCAUAAAACUAGAAAGAAACUAUCUGUGAAGCUGAUUUGGUAUGUGUGUAUUAAGCUAACAAAGUUAGAACUUCUUUUUGAUUCAGCAAGUUGAAAACAAAGUUUUUGUAGACUCUGCCAAUGGACAUUUCAGAGUAAACUGAGGCCUAUAGUGGAAAACAUAUUAUCCCACUAUAAAAAUUAUAAAGAAACUUUCUGUGAAACCGCUUUGUGAUGUGUGCUUUCAACUCAGUGAGUUAAACCUUUCUCCUGAUUAAGGAGUUUGGAAACACUCUCUUUGUAGAAUCUGCAAAAGGACAUUUUGCAUCUGACUGAGGCCUAUAAGGAGAAACCACAUAUCCAUUUAAAAACAAAAAAACAGAAAGAAGCUAAUUUUGAAACUGUUUUGGGAUGUGUACAUUCACUUGACAGUGUUAAAACUUUCUUUUGAUGUACCAGGUUGAAAACACUCUUUUUGUAAAAUCAGCAAAGGAAGAUUUCAGAGUGCACUGGAGCCUAUACAGAAAACCUGAAUACCCUGCAAUAAAAACUAGAAUGAAGCUAUCUGUGAAACUGCUUUGUUAUGUGUGGAUUCAGCUCGUAGAGUUAAAUCUUUCUUUUGAUUCAGCAGGUUGGAAACCCUCUUCUGACAGUAUCUGCAAAGGUACAUUUCAGAACUCAAUUUGGCCUAAUAGUGAAAAACUGAAUAUUCUGCUAUAAUUAAUAGAAAGAAGCUAUCUUGAAACUGCCUUGUGAUGUGUAAGUUCUGCUCACAGAAAAACUUUUCUUUAGAUUCAGCACAUUAGAAACACUCUUUUUGUAGAAUCUGUGAAUGGACAUUUCUGAGCCUACUGAAACCUAUAGUGAAAACAGAAUAUCUUGUGAUAUAAACUAGAAAGAAGCUAUUUGCAAAACUCCCCUGUGAUGUGAUUGUACAGUUCAAAGAGUUAAAUCUUUCUUUUGUUCAGAAGGUUGGAAGAGCUUUUUUUACAGAAACUGCUUUGGAGCCCACUGAGACCUGUAGUAAAAACUGAAUAUGCCAUCAUAAAAACUAGAAGGAAGCUCUCUGUGAAACUGCUUCCUGAUGUGUGCAUUCAGCGAACAGAGUUAAACCUGUCUUUGGAUUCAGUAGAUUAGAAACACUCUACCGGUAGAAUCUGCGAGGGGACAUUUUGGAGACGUUUGAAGCCUAUAGUGAAAAACAGAAUAUCCCGUGAUAUAAACUAGAAGGAAGCUAUCUGUGAAACUGCUUUGUGAUGUGUGAAUUCAUUUCACAGAGUUAAAACUUUCUUUUGAUUCAGCAGCUUGAAACACUUUAUUUGUAGAAUCUGCGAAUAGACAUUUUGGAGAACACUGACACCUUUAGUGAAAAACAGAACAUCCCGUGAUAAUAACUGGAAAGAAACUAUCUGUUAAACAGUUUUGUGAUAUUUGGAUUCAGUUCACAGAGUUACAUUGUUUUUGAUUCAGCAGGUUGAAUCACUCUUUUAGUGGAAUCUGUGAGUAUGCAUUUCAGAGCCGACUGAGGCCUUUAGUGAAAAACGGAAUAUGUCACAAUAAAAAGUAGAAAGAAUUUAUCUGUAAAACUGCUUUAUGAUGUGUAGAUCGUGCACACAAAGCUAAACUUUUUUUUUUUUUUGAUUCAGUAGAUUGUAAACACUGUUUUUUGUAGAAUCUUCCAAGGGACAUUUGGAGCCAUCUGCGGCCUAUAGUAAAAGACAAAAUACCCCAUGAUAAAAACUAGAAAGAAGCUAUAUGUGAAACUGCUUAGUGAUCAGUGGAUUCAGGUCACAGAGCUAAACCUUUCUUUUGAUUCAGUAGGUUGGAAACCCUCUUAGUAUCUUGGAAGGGACAUUUCAGAGCCCACUAAGGAGUAUAGUGAAAAAACGAAUAUCCCAUGAUAAAACUAGAAAGAAGCUAUCUGUGAAACUGCUUUGUGAGGUGUAGAUUCAACUUACAGAGUUAAACCUUUCUUUUGACUCAGCAACUUGUAAAAACUCUUUUUGUAGAAUCUGGGAAGGAAUAUUUUGGAGCCCACAGAGGCCUACAGUGAAAACAAAAUACCCCGCAGUAAAAACUAGAAGGAAGCUGUCUCUAAAACUACUUUGUGGUUUGUGGGUUUACCUAACAGAGUUAAACCUUUCUUUUGAUUUAGCAGGUUGUAAACACACCUUUUGUAAAAUCUGCAAAUUUACAUUUUGGAGCAAACUGAGUCCUAUAGUGAAAAAACAAAAAAUCCCAUGAUAAAAACUGGAAAGAACCUAUCUGUGAAAACUUGUGAUGUGUGCAUUCAGUUCACAGUGUUAAACUUUUCUUUUGAUUCAGCAGGAUGGAAACAGUCUCUUUGUGCAAUCUGUGAAUGGAUAUUUCUUAGCACAAAGAGGUCUACAGUUAAAAACUGAAAAUCUUGUGAUAAAAACUAGAAAGAAGCUAUCUAUGGAACUGCUUUGUCAGGUGCAGGUUCAACUCACAGAGGUAAACCUAUCUUUCAAUUCAGCAGGUUGUAAACACUCUUUCUGCAGAAUCUGCAAAGGGACAAUUCAAAUCCCUCUGAGUCCUAUAGUGAAAAACUGAAAAUCCCGUGACAAAAACCAGACCAAAACUGUCUGUUAAACUGCUUUGUAAUGUGUGGAUUUAGCUCACAGAGGUACAACUUUCUUUGUAUUUAGCAGGUUGUAAACACUCUUUUUGUAAAAGCUGCAACAAGAUAUUUCAAAGUCCACUGAGGGCUAUAUGGAAAAUGGAAUAUCCCACAAUAAAAACUAGAAAGUAGCUAUCUGUGAAACUUCUUUUUGAUGUGUGCAAUCAGCUCACAGACUUAAAUAUUUCUUCUCAUUCAGCAGGUUGUAAACACUCUUGUUUUCGAAUUUGCAAAGGGACACUUCACAGGGCACUGAGGCCUGUAGUGAAAACCUGAAUAUCCUGUGGAAAAAAAAAACUUGAAAGAAGCUAUCUGUGAAACUACUUUGUGAUGUGUGGAUUCAGCUGACAAAUUUGUAUUUUUUUUUUUUAUUUAGCAGAGUGGAACAUUAUUUUCUUAGAAUCUGCAAAAAGACAUUUUGAAGCCCACUGAGGGCUAUGUUGAAAAUCUGAAUAUUUCAAGAUAAACAGUAGAAAGAAGCUAUCUGUGAAACUGCUUUGUGAUGUGUGGAUUCAGCUCACAAAGUUAAACCUUUCUUUUGAUUCUCCAGAUUGGAAACACACUUUUUGUAGAAUAUGUGAAGGGACAUUUCAGAGCUCCCUGAGGCCUAUAGUAAAUAAAUGGAUAUCCCAUGAUAAAAACUUUGAAGAAACUACUGUGAAACUGCUUUGUGAUAUGUGGAUUCAACUCACAGAGUUAACCUUUAUUUUGGUUAAGCAGGUUGUAAACAUUCUUUUUGAAUAAUCUGGGAAGGGACAUUUCAGAGCCCACUGAGGCCUAUAGUGAAAACUGAAUACCCUGCGAUUAAAACUAGAAGGAAGCUAUGUGUGAAGCUGCUUUGUGAUGUGUGGGCUCAGCUAACAGAAUUAACCCAUUCUUUUCAUUCAGCAGGUUGUAAACACUCUUUCUUUAGAAUUAGCAUAUUGACAUUUCAGAGCAAACAGUCCUACAGUGAAAAACUGAAAAGCUCAUAAUUAAAAUUAGAAAGAAGCUAUCUGUGAAACUUUGUGAUGUUUGCAUUCAGUUCACAGAGUUAAACCUUUCUUUUCAUUCAGCAUGUUGGAAAUACUACUUUUGUAGGAUCUGUGAAGGAACAUUUCUUAGCCCGCCAAGGCCUAUAGAUAAAAACAAAAAAUCCUAUUAUAAAAACCAGAAAGAAGCUAUCUGUAACACUGCUUUGAGAGGUCUGGGUUCAACUCUCAGAGUUAAACCUGCCUUUUGAUUCAGCAGGUUGUAAACACUCUUUUUGUAGAAUCUGUAAAGGGACAUUUUGCAGCCUACUAUGUCCUAUAUCGAAAACUUGAAUAUCUUAUGAUAAAAACUAGAUAGAGCCUAUCUGUUAAACUGCUUUGUCCUGUAUGGAUUCAGCUCACAGAGGUAAAUCUUUUUUUUUUUUUUAUUUAGCAGGUUGGAAACACUCUUUUUGUAGAAGCUGCAAAGAGGCAUUUCAAAGUCCACUGAGUACUAUGUUGAAAAAUAGAAUAUCCCGUGAUAAAAACUAAAAAGAAGCUAUCUGUGAAAUUGAUUAGUGAUGUGUGGAUUCAGCACACAGAGUUAAACCUUUCUUUUCAUUCAGCAGGUUGGAAACAGUCUUAUUUUCAAAUCUGCGAAGGGACACUUUGAAGGCCACUGAGGCCUAUAGUGAAAAACCAAAUAUCCAAUGAAAACAACUAGGAAGAAUCUACCUGUGAUGUGUGGACUCAGCUCACAAACUUGUACAUUUCUUUUGAUUAGCAGGCUGAAAACACUUUUUUUUAGAGUCUGUGAAUAGACAUUUCGAAGCCCACUGAGGGCUAUGAUGAAAAGCAGAAAGAACCCAUCUGAAACUGCUUUGUGAUGUAUGGAUUCAGCUCACAAAGUUAAACUUUCCUUUUGAUUUUCUGGUUUAGUAAACACACUUUUUGUGGUAUAUGCAAAGGGACAUUUCAGAGCUUUCUGAGGCCUAUAGUGAAAAAGUGAAUAUCCCAUGAUAAAAACCUUAAAGAAGCUAUAUCUGUGAAACUGCUUUGUGAUAUGUGGAUUCAGGUCAAAGAGAUAAACCUUUCUUUUGAUUCAACAGGUUGGAAAAACUCUUUUUGUAGAAUCUGCAAAGGGGCAUUUCAGGGGCCAAAGAUGACUACAGUGUAAAACUGAAUAUCCCCUGAUGCAAACUACAAAGAAACUACCUGUGAAACUGCUUUGUGAUGUGUGCAUUCAGUUCACAUAGUUAAACCUGUCUUUUGAUUCCGCAGGUUGGAAACACUCUUUUUGUAGAGUCUGUGAAAUGCCAUUUUGCAGCCCACUUCAGGCCUAUAGAGAAAAACCAAAUAUCCCGCAAUAAAAACUAGAAAGAAGCUAUCUUUGAAACUGCUUUUGAUGUGUUGAUUCAGCUCACAGAGUUAAACCUUUCUUUUGAUUCAACAGGUUGGAAAAACUCUUUUUGUAGAAUCUGCAAAGAGACAUUUCAGAGCCCAUUGAAACCUAUAGUGAAAAACCAAAUAUCCCG
rnacentral:lncRNA from 1 species